GAUGAACGCUAGCGACAGGCUUAACACAUGCAAGUCGAGGGGCAGCACGGGAGUAGCAGUACAACUGGUGGCGACCGGCGCACGGGUGAGUAACGCGUAUGCAACCUACCUAUCAGAGGGGAAUAACCCGGCGAAAGUCGGACUAAUACCGCAUAAAACAGGGGCACCGCAUGGUGAUAUUUGUUAAAGAAAUUCGCUGAUAGAUGGGCAUGCGUUCCAUUAGGUAGUUGGGGAGGUAACGGCUCACCAAGCCGACGAUGGAUAGGGGAACUGAGAGGUUGGUCCCCCACACUGGUACUGAGACACGGACCAGACUCCUACGGGAGGCAGCAGUGAGGAAUAUUGGUCAAUGGGCGGGAGCCUGAACCAGCCAAGUCGCGUGAAGGAAGAAGGAUCUAUGGUUCGUAAACUUCUUUUGCAGGGGAAUAAAGUGCAGGACGUGUCCUGUUUUGUAUGUACCCUGAGAAUAAGGAUCGGCUAACUCCGUGCCAGCCGCCGCGGUAA
rnacentral:rRNA from 1 species